CCAUAAACAUUGCAUGAUUCAGUUCUCCUUGAUAUCUUGGUGCUUGGACUCUUCACUGUUGGCAUCAUUAGGUCAGCAGGUGAACACUCAGGAUUGUCUCUCUUCUGUUAGUAGAGCACCAAAAGACAGGGUCUGGCUCUGUCACGUAAGCCAGAGUGCAAUGGUACAAUCACCAUUGACUGCAGUCUCAAAUUCCUGGGUUCAAGCAAUCCUCCUGCCUCAGGUUCCCAAGCAGCUGGGACUACAGGCAUGUACCACCAUGCCCAGGGAAUGGUGUCUGGACCCAGAGAAUAACUGGAUCUUCAAGGAAGGAAGAGAAAUCUUUAGAAGAACGUGGAUUCUCCCCACUGGUAGUUAGUUGUCUCUUCCAUAUCCAGAAAUAACCUGAACAGGGCCACUGUGCGUAGGUUUAGAAUGGAGUUCAGAUACCAUACCCCAAAGAUGCUGGCAGAGACAUUCUGACUCAUUAAGGGAGAGCCGGCUGAUAGCAGAGAGGGGUGACAUCAGCCUUGCAGACAUUGCCCUGGGGAAUUCUGAGCAGUGUUGUACAGCACCACCUGGCCAGAUGGAGACCACCAUGGGGUUCAUGGAUGACAAUGCCACCAACACCUCCACCAGCUUCCUUUCUGCGCUCAACUCUCAUGGAGCCCAUGCCGCUUCCUUCCCAUUCAACUUCAGCUACGGCGACUAUGAUAUGCCUUUGGAUGAAGAUGAGGAUGUGACCAAUUCCCAGACUUUCUUUGCUGCCAAGAUUGUCAUUGGGAUGGCCCUGGUGGGCAUCAUGCUGGUCUGUGGCAUUGGCAACUUCAUCUUUAUCGCUGCCCUGGUCCGCUACAAGAAACUGCGCAACCUCACCAACCUGCUCAUCGCCAACCUGGCCAUCUCUGACUUCCUGGUGGCCAUUGUCUGCUGCCCCUUUGAGAUGGACUACUAUGUGGUGCGCCAGCUCUCCUGGGAGCACGGCCACGUCCUGUGCACCUCUGUCAACUACCUGCGCACUGUCUCUCUCUAUGUCUCCACCAAUGCCCUGCUGGCCAUCGCCAUUGACAGAGUAACUGUGAUGUGACAGAUGCUAUUGCAAGCACUGGAGAUACGACAGUGAAUAAGACAAAAAAACUCCUUGCUUUCCUGGAGCUUAUACCCAAAGGAUGGAGAGAGAUCCAGUCAGGCAAACAAAAAAGGAAGGUAUCUGGCUAUUGUCCACCCGCUGAGACCACGGAUGAAGUGCCAAACAGCCACUGGCCUGAUUGCCUUGGUGUGGACGGUGUCCAUCCUGAUCGCCAUCCCUUCCGCCUACUUCACCACCGAGACGGUCCUCGUCAUUGUCAAGAGCCAGGAAAAGAUCUUCUGCGGCCAGAUCUGGCCUGUGGACCAGCAGCUCUACUACAAGUCCUACUUCCUCUUUAUCUUUGGCAUCGAAUUCGUGGGCCCCGUGGUCACCAUGACCCUGUGCUAUGCCAGGAUCUCCCGGGAGCUCUGGUUCAAGGCCGUCCCUGGAUUCCAGACCGAGCAGAUCCGCAAGAGGCUGCGCUGCCGCAGGAAGACGGUCCUGGUGCUCAUGUGCAUCCUCACCGCCUACGUGCUGUGCUGGGCGCCCUUCUACGGCUUCACCAUCGUGCGCGACUUCUUCCCCACCGUGUUCGUGAAGGAGAAGCACUACCUCACUGCCUUCUACAUCGUCGAGUGCAUCGCCAUGAGCAACAGCAUGAUCAACACUCUGUGCUUCGUGACCGUCAAGAACAACACCGUCAAGUACUUCAAAAAGAUCAUGUUGCUCCACUGGAAGGCUUCUUACAAUGGCGCUAAGUCCAGUGCAGACCUGGACCUCAAGACGAUCGGGAUGCCUGCCACCGAAGAGGUGGACUGCAUCAGACUAAAAUAACCCCCUGGACUUUGCAAAGUUUAAACACAAAGCAGGGUCCUGUGGACACUGACUAGUGUGCUUGGAUGCACAUCAACCUGGAACUUUUUGUUUGCUGCAGAGGGCAAAGUAAACGGACCACUCUGUGAACAAUGUUUUCAAGGAGCUCAGAGUUUCUAAAAUGCAUGUGACCAGACACUAUCAACAGUGGCAUUUGCUGAAUGUCUAAUUUGCACACCAGUAGGUACUGGUAAAACCUAUAUAUGUUGAUGACAUUUAGUUGGCAAAAUGAAAUUGGAAUUAAACC
rnacentral:sRNA from 1 species